UACAGAGGUCUCAAGCGUUGUUCGGAAUCACUGGGCGUAAAGGGCGUGUAGGCGGUCAGGUAAGUGAGACGUGAAAUGCCCCGGCUUACCCGGGGACCUGCGUCUCAUACUGCUUGGCUUGAGUACGGGAGAGGGUGUGGGAAUUCCUGGUGUAGCGGUGAAAUGCGUAGAUAUCAGGAGGAACACCGGUGGCGAAGGCGCACACCUGGCCCGAUACUGACGCUGAGGCGCGAAAGCUAGGGGAGCAAACGGG
rnacentral:rRNA from 1 species